rnacentral:rRNA from 1 species
AUUGAACGCUGGCGGCACGCCUAACACAUGCAAGUCGAACGGUAACAGGAAGAAGCUUGCUUCUUUGCUGACGAGUGGCGGACGGGUGAGUAAUGUCUGGGAAACUGCCUGAUGGAGGGGGAUAACUACUGGAAACGGUAGCUAAUACCGCAUAACGUCGCAAGACCAAAGAGGGGGACCUUCGGGCCUCUUGCCAUCGGAUGUGCCCAGAUGGGAUUAGCUAGUAGGUGGGGUAACGGCUCACCUAGGCGACGAUCCCUAGCUGGUCUGAGAGGAUGACCAGCCACACUGGAACUGAGACACGGUCCAGACUCCUACGGGAGGCAGCAGUGGGGAAUAUUGCACAAUGGGCGCAAGCCUGAUGCAGCCAUGCCGCGUGUAUGAAGAAGGCCUUCGGGUUGUAAAGUACUUUCAGCGGGGAGGAAGGGAGUAAAGUUAAUACCUUUGCUCAUUGACGUUACCCGCAGAAGAAGCACCGGCUAACUCCGUG